rnacentral:rRNA from 1 species
CGGGCAUGCCUUACACAUGCAAGUCGAACGGGUAACAGGGAGCUUGCUCCGCCUGACGAGUGGCGAACGGGUGAGUGAUAUAUCCGGAACGUACCUUUGAGUGGGGGAUAAGUAGUCCGAAAGAUUAGCUAAUACCGCAUACGAUCUUACGGAUGAAAGUGGGGGAUCCGCAAGACCUCCAUGCUCCAUAGAGCGGCCGAUAUCCUGAUUAGCUAGUUGGUGAGGUAAAGGCUCACCAAGGCUUCGAUCAGUAGCUGGUCCUGAGAGGACGACCAGUCCACACCUGGGACUGAGACACCGCCCAGACUCCCUACGGGAGGCAGCAGUGGGGAAUUUUGGACAAUGGGGGCAACCCUGAUCCAGCAAUGCCGUCGUGAGUGAAGAAGGCCUUCCGGGUUGUAAAGCUCUUUUGUCCAGGGCCCGCAAACGGGGGAUCCUAAUACGGUCCCAUAAUGACGGUACUUCGUAAGAAUCAGCACCGGUCAACUCAUCCCGCUGCC